rnacentral:rRNA from 1 species
GAUGAACGCUGGCGGCGUGCCUAAUACAUGCAAGUCGAGCGAACAGACUAGGAGCUUGCUCCUCUGACGUUAGCGGCGGACGGGUGAGUAACACGUGGAUAACCUACCUAUAAGACUGGGAUAACUUCGGGAAACCGGCGCUAAUACCGGAUAAUAUAUUGAACCGCAUGGUUCAAUAGUGAAAGACGGUUUUGCUGUCACUUAUAGAUGGAUCCCCGCCGCAUUAGCUAGUUGGUAAGGUAACGGCUUACCAAGGCAACGAUGCGUAGCCGACCUGGGAGGGUGAUCGGCCACACUGGAACUGAGACACGGUCCAGACUACAACGGGAGGCAGCAGUAGGGAAUCGGCCGCAAUGGGCGAAAGCCUGACGGAGCAACGCGGAGUGAGUGAUGAAGGUCUUCGGAUCGUAAAACUCUGUUAUUAGGGAAGAACAAAUGUGUAAGUAACUAUGCACGUCUUGACGGUACCUAAUCAGAAAGCCACGGAUAACUACGUG